CCUACGGGUGGCAGCAGUGAGGAAUAUUGGUCAAUGGACGCGAGUCUGAACCAGCCAAGUAGCGUGAAGGAUGACUGCCCUAUGGGUUGUAAACUUCUUUUAUAAAGGAAUAAAGUGAGGCACGUGUGCCUUUUUGUAUGUACUUUAUGAAUAAGGAUCGGCUAACUCCGUGCCAGCAGCCGCGGUAAUACGGAGGAUCCGAGAGUUAUCCGGAUUUAUUGGGUUUAAAGGGAGCGUAGGUGGGUUGUUAAGUCAGUUGUGAAAGUUUGCGGCUCAACCGUAAAAUUGCAAUUGAAACUGGCAGUCUUGAGUACAGUUGAGGUAGGCGGAAUGCGUGGUGUAGCGGUGAAAUGCUUAGAUAUCACGAAGAACUCCGAUUGCGAAGGCAGCUUACUAGACUGCCACUGACACUGAGGCUCGAAAGUGUGGGUAUCAAACAGGAUUAGAUACCCGUGUAGUC
rnacentral:rRNA from 1 species